rnacentral:pre_miRNA from 1 species
AAUAAGAUUAUUUUUCAGUUUUUUGAUAUAAUGCUUUGACUCUUCGUCUUAUUUGAAAUUUUUUUACGAUUAAUAUUUUUAUUUUUACUAGAUGAUAAAGCAUAAAUAGUAUUUUAUGUGUGACUAUUUUUUUAAAUAAGACAAAUGGUCAAACGUUGGACACGAAAAA